AAGGCUAAAACUCAAAGGAAUUGACGGGGGCCCGCACAAGCGGCGGAGCAUGCGGAUUAAUUCGAUGCAACGCGAAGAACCUUACCAAGGCUUGACAUAUGCGAGAACGCGGCAGAGAUGUCGUUCUCUUUGGACACUCGCAUACAGGUGGUGCAUGGUUGUCGUCAGCUCGUGUCGUGAGAUGUUGGGUUAAGUCCCGCAACGAGCGCAACCCUCGUUCUAUGUUGCCAGCACGUGAUGGUGGGGACUCAUAGGAGACUGCCGGGGUCAACUCGGAGGAAGGUGGGGAUGACGUCAAAUCAUCAUGCCCCUUAUGUCUUGGGCUUCACGCAUGCUACAAUGGCCGGUACAAAGGGCUGCGAUACCGCGAGGUGGAGCGAAUCCCAAAAAACCGGUCUCAGUUCGGAUUGGGGUCUGCAACUCGACCCCAUGAAGUCGGAGUCGCUAGUAAUCG
rnacentral:rRNA from 1 species